UGUAUAUUUCCAUCAAAUCAAAUAUUGACUGAGAAUGAUGAUACAACAUUAUAUCAUUAACCAUCUUUCGGGACUGAAUCCCUAACUGAUGAUUUGUAUUAACUGACUCAGUUUAUUAUACAAUAAUUUGAAAGCCAUGUAUGUGCAUGUAUUUUUGUGUCCUGCUACUUAUUUUUUCCUAAAUCAACAUGAAGUCAUAAUUAUUUUGUGUUUUGCUUUAGUUUCAAGUUUUAUUUUUAGUUACUAAUUAUGGUAUUCUAUAAUGUUCUGUAGUUAGUUUUUCUACUUAAUAUUGUGCAGUAAAUUAAACUUGUAAAUUAAUCAUUUUUGUAAUAGGAACUGAAUUCUAUUUUGCAGUGGCAUACUAACAAACCCAAGCUGUAUCGUCAUCAGUUACUGUGGUUCCUCUGCAGAUCAAUUUGUAACUGUUCAUACACUAGCAUCACUUUAUCUGUUCCUACAUGUACAUGCAACAAGUUACUUGCUACUAUAGGAUAUACUGUAGACAGUACUAGACACAUAGCUGUCCAACAUGUUAAAUAUUGACAAGUGCAUGGAGCGAUGAAUAAAAUCACUGAGUUUACAAAGCUAUAGCCAGGGUCAGUACAAGUUGUAUAAUUAUUUAUCCGAUGGAACAAUGCUUGGAUAAACUCUUUCUCUUCCCGGAGUUCAUUGCUGCAAAACAUAUCAGGGUGUAUUUGUUUGUCUAAAGUCAUCGAAACCUAUUUUUCCAACGAGCUAUAGUGUUCUAAAUUCAUCCUUUUGAACAAUUUUAGAGAUUUUUGAUAAUGAUAAUAAUUAAUUGAGUAAAAUAGGGGAGGGGCUAGCUGGCUAGGGAAUUUUUCGAGUUUUCGCCUCCUUUUUAACGCUUUUCAACAUGAUUGAUUUGUGUCAAUGGAGAGCUAGAAUAGGGUCUUGGAACUGUUGCAAUUGUUCGCAAUCCCGGGAUUGUGUUGGUAGUAGAUCUAGCACAAGUAGAGCUGGACUUAGUAAUACGAUUUCAUCUACGCAAGGGAAUGCUCCUAAGCUAACUUUGUCUAUUUUUUGUCUUGCUAUCCUCCUCUUCAUAUCAGGAGAUGUGGAGCUUAAUCCUGGACCCACUCUUACAGAUAAACCAACAAAAGAUGAGUUGGUUGAGUUAUUGAGUAGCUCAAAUUUUGCUGCUGGUACUUGGGAACAAUUUGCCUGCUAUCUUCUAAAUGUGUCACAUGAUGUCAUUACUGGAAUCA